GACGAACGCUGGCGGCGUGCUUAACACAUGCAAGUCGAACGGAAAGGCCUGCUUUCCCUUGUGGAUUGCGGGUACUCGAGUGGCGAACGGGUGAGUAACACGUGAGUGAUCUGCCCCCAACUUGGGUAUAAGCCUGGGAAACUGGGUCUAAUUCCCGAUAGGACUGCAGGGUGGUGCCUGUGGUGGAAAACGAUUUUCUAGUGGUUGGGGAUGAGCUCGCGGCCUAUCAGCUUGUUGGUGGGGUAAUGGCCUACCAAGGCGGCGACGGGUAGCCGGCCUGAGAGGGUGGACGGCCACAUUGGGACUGAGAUACGGCCCAGACUCCUACGGGAGGCAGCAGUGGGGAAUAUUGCACAAUGGGCGGAAGCCUGAUGCAGCGACGCCGCGUGGGGGAUGACGGCCUUCGGGUUGUAAACUCCUUUCGACCGCGAGGAAACCACCUGGUUGGAAGGGUGGUGACGGUAGUGGUAGAAGAAGCACCGGCUAACUACGUG
rnacentral:rRNA from 1 species